rnacentral:tRNA from 1 species
AGACCCAGGAACGAAAGUUCUUCUCCAAAUUUGCAAUUUGGGGGUUUUUUUCUGGGCC